rnacentral:lncRNA from 12 species
GGAUUAGGACGUGAACUAUCUUUUGUGGGGAGGACACCGUUUAACUCACUGUAGUACGUGAUACCACAAAUGCGCUAUAUAUUUAUAUUGGCAUAUUGUCACCUUGUAAUUAUCAAGAAAAACAACAUUAGAGUCAUUUAAAGUCAAUAAAUGGAAAAACAGCAUCUGCUAAAAUGAGUUGGAGACUCGUUCAUCUGUAUUCCUUUUUAUUGGUUUGUAAUUUUAACAAAUGCUUCCAUUACUAAAGUCCCUGGUCACGUCCUUCUAAACUAAAUAUAAUACAAAAGUUUAAGAAGCUAAUAAUUCUCUUACAGAUGACCGAAAGAUGAACCUUAUGCUUAGCAGAGUAACACUGGAUAUAAUACGGUCUUACCAGCUAUCCCCAUUAAUUGAUCAUACUUCCUAAACUUAAUUCUUUGACCUAUGUUUUAUAAUAUUAUUGUUUCAGAUAUCAUCACUAUGGAUUGAGCUGGUUUCUUGUCCCAAGAGUUUAGAGUGCUAACACAUGUUAAAUCUGUCCUAGGCAAAAGGAGCCCAGAACCAUGUGGACAUGAUUUGAAUAAAGAAGAUUCACCCAUGAAUUUGAGAGAUAGCAUCAGAGAACAUGAACACAAUGGCGAGUUCAAAUGAGCCUGGAAAGUCACUAAUGAUAGAUUGUUUCUCACCUCUCGCGGGGCUGCUUUCUGCAUGAAGACACCUCAAGUCUCCUAACAGUAGUCAAUGAUACUAAUGGAUGUCUGAGCCCAGGGAUGCUAUUCCAGGCCUUGGCAGAAGUGAUGAAAUGCG